AACCCAUGUUGAGGACAUUUACGCAAGAGCUCCUUGAACCUAUCCCAUGUCCCAAAUAGAGACUCCAAUUUCCUUCGCACAAAAUAUGAUAUUUCAUUCCUAAGUUU